rnacentral:sRNA from 1 species
UCACGAGGUGGUACAUACCGAAGUAGGG